ensembl:misc_RNA Metazoa_SRP Metazoan signal recognition particle RNA
GCCGGGCAUGGUGGUGCAUGCCUGUAGUCCCAGCUAUUCGGGAGGCUGAGGUGGGAGGAUUGCUUGAGCCCAGGAGUUCUGGGCUAUAGUGCUCUAUGCCAAUCUGGUGUCUGCACUAAUUUCGGCAUCAAUACUGUGAUGUCCCAGGAGUAGAGGACAACCAGGUUGCCUAAGGAGGGGUGAACUGGCCCAGGUCAGAAAUGGAGCAGGUCAAAACUCCCAUGCUGAUCAGUAGUGGAAUCGUGCCUGUGAAUUGUCACUGCCCUCCAGCCUGAGCAACAUAGCAAUACCACAUUCU